rnacentral:lncRNA from 1 species
CCUGGUCCAAGGAUAUACAAACCAUCACAACAGUUUUUAAGCUCCUGCUUACAUCAGAAGUACAGAGAAAGAAUUGGCUGAAAUAAAUCACAUGCUCAGACCUAGACUCAUUGUUCAGGCAAGAAUAGAGUUUGGAGAUGGACUUGCUUACCCGUCUAAAGGAUGUGGAAUUGGAGAAUAAGUGAGCUAAUCUUGGAAGAAUUUUGCAGAAAAACAGGACAUUUCUCCAUGGAUCCAGAGGAAGUGGUAACUGAGGGUUUGAGCUCUAUAGGGAUCUGGCUUCUUCAUGGGUAUUCCUAGUGGAUGGCCUCAAGUCUACAAUAGAGACUGCUUGGCUGUCUGCAGUGGAAAAGACCUUCAAGUUGACUGUGAGUGGGUGCGACUCAUCAAGAAAAAUAACCUCACCACCACAACAACACAUGAUGGGAGAGACCGAAACUUCUUUGGGAGAACAUAAGGGGAAAAAAAAAAGAAAAAGUGAAGUCUAAAUAUUAUUAAACACAUGAAAGCAGAGUCAUUUACUUAUUAGGAAGGCGCUCAUUCACACACAGGUAGACUUGUGGUCCCUUAGAAGUACGUAAACACAACCCGUCAGUCCACCACAGUCAACAUCAGAAUUUCUUGGGAAAUGCCUCAUGAAAGAGUUUUUAAAGAAUAAUAUGACUGUGGAUCUGUCAAAUAAUUUCCCAAAAGCCAUGAAAGAUGAGUUGCUCUGCUCUGUUAUGCAUUUCCUUCCCUUGCACGGGCACUCACAGCUUGCCAAAUUUAGUCUGAGAUCUGAACAGAGAGAAAACAUGAACUCUUUCAACUGAAGUUCGGCUUCCUGUUUCUACAUGGCCUCUCAUACUCUGGGCCAUUCUGCAGAUCUACCCAGGUGUGUUUCCUGGACACUUGAUAAAAAUCAUUCUCACAUCAAAGUUGACCAAAAAUGAUUGAUGAUAAGUAGUUAAGGGUUUAUAAAUGCCAGACUAUGGGAGAUGAUUGUAAAAUAAAUAGAUAUAAAUAAAUAAAUAAACAAAUAAAUGUAAGCCCUCCAGUCUACUUCUAUGUUCAUUUAUUCUUCUGUUUAUAGCAGUCUGAGGCUACUCGAGGCUUAAAACAAAAUAUUGACAUACAGAUGUCAUGUUGGGACAUACAUGUCCAGGU